CCUACGGGUGGCAGCAGUGGGGAAUAUUGCACAAUGGGCGCAAGCCUGAUGCAGCCAUGCCGCGUGUGUGAAGAAGGCCUUCGGGUUGUAAAGCACUUUCAGCGGGGAGGAAGGCGGUGAGGUUAAUAACCUCAUCGAUUGGCGUUACCCGCAGAAGAAGCACCGGCUAACUCCGUGCCAGCAGCCGCGGUAAUACGGAGGGUGCAAGCGUUAAUCGGAAUUACUGGGCGUAAAGCGCACGCAGGCGGUCUGUCAAGUCGGAUGUGAAAUCCCCGGGCUCAACCUGGGAACUGCAUCCGAAACUGGCAGGCUAGAGUCUUGUAGAGGGGGGUAGAAUUCCAGGUGUAGCGGUGAAAUGCGUAGAGAUCUGGAGGAAUACCGGUGGCGAAGGCGGCCCCCUGGACAAAGACUGACGCUCAGGUGCGAAAGCGUGGGGAGCAAACAGGAUUAGAUACCCUUGUAGUC
rnacentral:rRNA from 1 species